rnacentral:rRNA from 1 species
AUACGAAGGGGGCUAGCGUUGCUCGGAAUCACUGGGCGUAAAGGGUGCGUAGGCGGGUCUUUUAAGUCAGGGGUGAAAUCCUGGAGCUCAACUCCAGAACUGCCUUUGAUACUGGGGACCUUGAGUUCGGGAGAGGUGAGUGGAACUGCGAGUGUAGAGGUGAAAUUCGUAGAUAUUCGCAAGAACACCAGUGGCGAAGGCGGCUCACUGGCCCGAUACUGACGCUGAGGUGCGAAAGCCGUGGGGGAGCAAACAGGG